UAGGAUUCCACUUAGGAAAGUCGCUUCACGAGGAGUCAACACGUGUCCCGCCUGCUCGAAACACAGCGUUUCAUUAAAGGAAUCAGCGAUCCAUAUGGGCUAAGUUUGUGUGUGGGCUUUUUUUUAAUUUGGCACAAGAAAAGCAGCCCGAUAGCAGUCAACCCUAAUAGCACAAUGUUCAUCUCCGUUCUUUGUUCUUCGUCAUCUGAUCUUCUUUUUCAUCGACCAAAAACGUUACCAGUUACAGAUUCGUCUCAUUAAACCUCUUCUUAACUCCAUCAACCACGAUCUGGUCUUGAAUGUGAACUUCUCUUCUCCGAGGCGGUGUCACUGCGAAUAUAAAAAGUUAAGCCUUCCUCUUAUCAAAACCAUCUUCUUGAUCUGUUGAACCAACAAAGUAAAGUUAUUUUCACAUAAAUGGCUAACUCGAAAGUUCUUAUUUCUCAUUUGAAAUCUGGUAAAUUUUCUUCUCCGGUUGAGGUUAGGUUGAUGCGUUGACUUCCUCUGCCUAGAAAAGGGAAACAUGAACGGUUAGUGGCUACACUCAGUCAAUUCGUCUGGACUUCUUCUUAAAUCGUUAUGGGCGUCAAUAUGCUUCUCCUUGAAGCCAAGGUUGCUCCGGCGAUUUAGAAAACAAACUCAAGUUUUUUCUGUAAGAUUUACAAGUAACGUGAUCUUAAUUAAUUUGUGAUCUUAGUCAUACGAUGUUUGCUUCUUCAUUUUGUUAAGCUCCUCGGUCUUUUUAAUCUGACAAUGGCUCGAACAAAUGCAGAUGAUGAUUUAAAGUCAAAGUCUUUACAAGCUGAGUUUGGCGAAAAGAGGAGCUUUGGUCGCGGUUUCUGUAUUACAGUCAAGAGAUUGCAACAUAUAAAAAAAUUACUAAUGCUCUGCUUCAUAGAAGGUAUGAAGCUACAUAUGGAGAAAUUCAAUGAUGGUAUUGUACUAAGAUAAAGGCUCCUUAGUAUAUUGAAACGAGAGUCUAUAGUGGGGACAUGUAAAGUUCCUAUGUUAUAAAUACCAUUUGAGUCAAAUAUCAUAUGUAAAUUUUUUCCUUGAGUCGAUUUUAGUUUUCAACAAUGUUUUUGUUUUAAAAAAUAGAUUAUUGUAUGAUAGUUUUAAGCAAUCUGCAGGAUAUUACUGAAGAAAACAAAUCUCCUCCAUGCCCAACAGAGUGGUUAUUCCGUGUUGAUAUUGUUAAUAAAUGGAAAGAGUCUAACGGUUUCAGUGCUACCCAGAUGUUUAGAGAAUAUCAAGAUGUCUGAUACGGCCUUACUGGUGAGAAGAGCAUUGUCUUUAAGCCAAUAUACUUUGUUUAUGGAUCUUCCAUAGAUUCUUUUGUGAAAAGGGGGAUUAGAAGUCUUUUGGUUCAAUGGAAAAUUAGCUCAGCAGUCCAGUGAGAAAGUGUUGAAGGAUGCAAUGAAACCAUCACAAAACAGUUCUGCUUAUGUCUAUGAAAGCUGGCGUCGAACUGAAUCUAACCGCUUCUUCACACGUCUUCUUAACGGUACAGUUUAUCUUUACGAUUACGUUUAAGUUCCAAAUACGUUCCAACUAAAAACUCUAACAAUGUGAUUUCACCAUUUAUUUAUAAUAUCCCAUAAAAUAAAAUAAUAAAAUCAAAAAGAACUAAAAAAUAUCCUAACAAACAAUGAUUUUAAACUCAUUUUCAAAUGGAAAUAAUGUUUCAUAAGCUCAAACCAACGAAAAGAUCUAAUCUCACAAAUAUUUUUUCUUUUGUGUUACCAAACUCAAAAACCAAAAAAAUAAUAUGAAAAUUAAUGGAAAAGCAAAAUGAGGAAUUAUACAUAAUCAAACAUAUAGUUAAAAAAGAGUAACACUAUCUAAUAAAUAAAAUAAAAUACAAAUAGCAUACAUAUUACUAUCUCCCAAAUAUCAACACACUUUUAAAUAAAGCAAAAUGGCAUCGUAACAUCGUCUCUUGCAUUUUUUAAUUAAAGAAAUUAAUUACAAAGUUUUGGCGAACCGCAAUACACAAGAAAUCUAAAAAUAACAUAUGAUAAUGGAUUACCUCAAAUAAAUAAAUUUAAAAA